rnacentral:misc_RNA from 1 species
AAUUCUCAGCCCUCUGUCUCCUUGUGGAGCCUUUGAGGUGCUGGAUGGUGGGAGUGUGCUUUGUUCCCUUUCAAGGGAAUAGAAGCUCUCCUGAAAUGCAUCAGUGGACCCAGCUUUCUGCCCUGGGGUCGUUGAGCUUUGGUUUGAUAGUCCUCUGUUUGUCUACAACCCCAUUGCUACAACUAAGAAUGCCCUGGAACCUUUGGAAUGUCUGGGGUGUACUGCAGAAUUCUACUUUACCCUAUUGACA